ensembl:lncRNA
GUUUCUUUCAAAAUGAAGAUUCACUCAGUGGUUGUAGCUGUCUUGAUAAGCCAGGUUCUAGUUUACGAAGUUUUAUUCCAGAGGGAAAAAAGCCACUUCACCUAGAAAUCUUCCAAACAAAUCAACUUUUGCUCUGUGAGUAAUCCAGGCUAUCAAGACUACAUUUUAGGUGAGUAGGUUCUCUUUUUUGUUUCUUUUCUGGGUUUUUUUUUUUUUUUUUUUGGUGAUAGAGUCUUGCUCUGUCACCUAGGCUGGAGGGCUGUGGCAUGAUCUUGGCUCACCGUAACCUCUUGCUUCUCAGCUCAAGCCAUCCUCCCACCUCAGCCACUUGAGCAGCUGGGACUACAGGCAUGCACCACUACACCUGGCUAAUUUUUGUAUUUUUUCUAGAGAGAGGGUUUUGCCAUAUUGCCCAGGCUGGUCUUGAACUCCUAAGCUCUAGUGAUCUGCCCACCUAGGCCUCCCAAAGUGCUGGGAUUACAGGCGUGAGCCACCGUGCCCGGCCUUUUUUGCCCCUUUUAUCUUUUUAGUUUAUAAGUAGAUUGCCUAUCUCAGUCCCUCAGAUUGCCAGUUGUUGGUUCUGAGAAAAUGGAUUUAAGUGGAUUUAUUAACUUUCCUCUGCUUUCUGCAUUCUCACUUCUUACUGUGUUUAAUUUGUUUGUAGCUGACGGCAAGGCCUCUGAGGCACGGAAAUUCACAGCUGAGUUCUUGGAGAAGGUCCUUGAGCCAUCUGGAUGGCGUGCAGUCUGGCACAUAAUGUGCUCAAGGUGCUGCUUGAGGUGACAGAUGUGGCCAUUUCAGCCUUGAAGGCAGUGGUGCAGCUUGCUGAGCCAUACCUCUGUGAAUCUUGAGCAAGCACUUUCACCUUGGAGUGUAUGAGAGAGCUCCUCGAGCUGAAGGAACAUCAGUUGCUCCUGCAGGAGCUGGGUGGUGUUUGAUGAUUCUGGAGUGUUUGACUAGACAGCACUUGCAACUGAGCAUGUCAGGUAUGAAGGAGGUAUCUGGUCAGAGAAGGUGUUUUCUGAGGCUGCUUCCCGGAUCCCUAGGGGAUGUGUUCCUGCCAUUCAGCCUUUUUGGCAGUUAUUUCCACUUGUACAAGCAGACUUUUGUCACUUACCUGAGAAAGAAAGCCCACACCUGGAUUAAUAUUAAUAGGUAUGAUUUAAAAUUUUUUUCAGAUAAAUCUUCUAUCAGAUAGUGCCUGAUACAGAUAGUUCUUUUGGAUUUUCUAUAUAUAAGUAUAUUCACUGUAGAGGGCUACUUUUAGCCAUGUAAAAAUGGACUUAUAUUCUUCUAGUAACUGGAAGACUGGCUAAUGCAAUGAUCAUAAUAGUUAAUAAUGUUGCUUGGUGUUUUGUAGUUUUGAAAGUACUUUCCUGUUUCUAUACCAUUAGUCAGCUAACCAGGUUUUGCUAAGCUUAGUUUACAUACUUGAUAAAGAAGCAGAGUGCCUCAGACGCUGCUUCUGACAUCUUAUGGACAAUCUCUAAUUGCAUGCAAGAACAUUUAACCCUGGUGUUCAGUUUUAAGCCAAGCAAUAUAAAUCUAAAGAACUGGUUUCUGUCCAGGACCAAAAUAACUCCCUUAUGUUUCUCUUGCUUUAAAAUAGUCUGUCAGUCGAAGCAUUUGAAGGUGAAGGGAUAACUGAUGAGUUUAGGAAAUUAGGAGAGAGGGUGCCAAUCUCUACGGGUAUAGAAGUUGGUAGAAAGACAAGUACCUGGAACUGGUAAGAGUUCCUGUUAAGGAAGAGGAGCCUGAAUUUUUUUUUUUUUUUUUGAGACGGAGUCUUUGCUGUGUCACCCAGGCUGAAGUUCAGUGGCGCGGUCUCAGCUCACUGCAAGCUUGCCUCCUGGGUUCACGCCAUUCUCCUGCCUCAGCCUCCCGAGUAGCUGGGACUACAGGCGCCCGCUACCAUGCCCGGCUAAUUUUUUGUAUUUUUAGUAGAGACGGGGUUUCACCGUGUUAGCCAGGAUGGUCUGGAUCUCCUGACCUUGUGAUCCGCCUGUCUCGGCCUCCCAAAGUGCUGGGAUUACAGGCGUGAGCCACCAGGCCUGGCCAAGAGGAGCCUGAUUACAUUUACUCUCCAUGUUGAGGACUCAGAUUCUGGUCAGUGACUAGAGAAGGUCAAAUUAUGAGGGUUUUCAUUUGCCCAUUGAUUCGGUAAGUGUGGAGUGCUGGGUUCUCAGUUGAGGGUGGGGUAUGACUGGUGCACAAAACCAACACCUUUGUCGGGGAGCUGCCAGUCUACAGGUGGGAGGUGAAGCUGUAUAGAAUAAUCACAUAAGGAUGCAGAUGCAAUUGGAAGGAGCCGUGAGCACCAUGAAGAAUUUCAGAGUGUCCUAAGACUGGGUCAGGUUGCCGUUCUGUGCUUAUUUCCGGAAGAAAUGACAUUCGAAUUUAGGUCUAAAAGGUGAAAGGAGUGGCAGGUGAAAGGGGUGGCGGAGAUGGGGGAACAGGUUCAGGAACUCAGUGGGUUUAAGGAGCUGCAAGGUCAAUGUGGCCAGAACAUAGUGCUGGGAGAGGCAUAGGAAGUCAGGGUAGAGAGGUUGGCAGGGCUCAGACAGUGCAGGGCUCUGUCAACCAGUGAAUCAUUUUGUAAGAGCAUGAAAAACCAUUGAGGGGUUUUUAUUUUGGGGUGAAUAUGACUUGCUUUGUGUUUUUAAAGGUUCAUUCUGGCUGCUGUGUGGAAAACAAAUGGAGGGAGAUGGAUAGGGAGGUGGGGAUACGGAAGGGUCUAGAGUGAGGAUAUGGAGAAAUCUAGAGUGGGGAUAUGGAGGGGUCCAGAGUGGGG